AGUGAACGCUGGCGGUAGGCCUAACACAUGCAAGUCGAACGGCAGCACAGUAAGAGCUUGCUCUUACGGGUGGCGAGUGGCGGACGGGUGAGGAAUCCAUCGGAAUCUACUUUUUCGUGGGGGCUAACGUAGGGAAACUUACGCUAAUACCGCAUACUCCCUACGUUUGAAAGCAGGGGAUCUUCGGACCUUGCGCGAUUGAAUGAGCCGAUGUCGGAUUAGCUAGUUGGCGGGGUAAAGGCCCACCAAGGCGACGAUCCGUAGCUGGUCUGAGAGGAUGAUCAGCCACACUGGAACUGAGACACGGUCCAGACUCCUACGGGAGGCAGCAGUGGGGAAUAUUGGACAAAGGGCGCAAGCCUGAUCCAGCCAUACCGCGUGGGUGAAGAAGGCCUUCGGGUUGUAAAGCCCUUUUGUUGGGAAAGAAAAGCAGCAGGUUAAUACCCCGCUGUUCUGACGGUACCAAAAGAAUAAGCACCGGCUAACUUCGUG
rnacentral:rRNA from 1 species